CUGCUGCCCCACAGAAGGACGUGAGCGCGGGGUGGCGGCGUCCUUUGAAAUCCUUUAACUGGGUUACUGAGAUUUAGUAUUUCUGAUCUUCUUCAGUCUUUCGAAUAAUCGAUUGCUGAGAUCUUGAUCUUGAUGUUGCAUUUUUCUUGUUUUAUUUAAGAUUGGUUUUAGAUGUAGAGUUGGGUUCAUUUUGGAUGUGAAUGUUGGUUUUUAGAUUACUCAAUGGUUCAUUGCAGAAUGGUUUUGGUUGUUGGUGCAGGGAAGCUUUGCAUCAAUGUUAGACCCCCAUUCAAGGUCAUGUUCAUCCCGGAAGAGCGGAGGCAGAUUGUGUUAUUUGCACAAGGUUUCCCAAUCUCUCCUGAAGCUUAUCCUUUUUGAUAGAAUCGAUCAAUUAGCCCGUCUCAAGGUCUUCCCAGAUAUGCGGCCUUGUUGGAACAAAUGGAGUUGGAAAAUCCACAUCACUUAAAGUCUUAGCUGGCAAGCUGAAACCUCAUAAUCCGGCAAGAGAUCAUCACAUACUUCUAGGGUUCUGAGCUUCAGAAUUAUUUUACAUGUAUAUUGGAGGACCUGAAGAGCUGUUUAAUCCAGCAAUGAAACGCAGGUCAUCGCCCAUUCUACUCGCAACAUCGGCACAAACUGCCGCUGCUGACCAUCAUUAUUCGGUCGUAAUCCCGGCGUCCUCCUCCUGUUGUGCCCUUGGCUUAUUGCCUCGAGGUGCCACCCAAAUGCGCGUGGCUGCAAAAGUGUUUCAUCAUGGUCAGGCGCAGGUAGAUGACAACAAGCUGCAGAACAAUGAGCAGCUCGACAGAGGAGUACCGACGCAACGCUCGCCAUAGGGAAUUGGGAAGGUACAGAGUUGGGCUCCCCUGAUCACUAUAUUUAUUGGGAAGCUUGGUACAAGACAAUCUUAGUUUGGGCUAUGAUGCAACAAUAGGUUUUGAUUGCCAAAGCUGGACUUGACUGAGCAGAUACAUUGACGAUGUUCAUCAAGGGGUUGUUGGAUAUCUUGACCGGUCUGCAGUACUUGGAAGAAAACUUCCUAGGUAACGUUCAGGAGAUAAAUGAUUUUAAUGUUACAUAGCACACUCCUCUCUGCAUGUUCCAUGCCAAGUGGAGCAAACCCUGUUUUACUGCUUUUGUGUGACUGUAGUUUGGAACAAGAUUCCUUCAGUGGGUUCUACAUUUUAAGUUUAAUAUGAGAAAUGCUGUCAAAUUAUCAAUAUGCACUUAUUAUUGUAACUCAAUGUGAAUCGAGUUCUUUGUAUUUCUUUGUGCUUGUUACUGGGUAUUAUUUGUUAAGACCACUCUAAGCAGAGAGAAUCAAAACAAAGGAUGGUAAGCUGAAACUUACUGCAUUUGUUUUUGAAAAACUACCAUUGUUUCCAGAACACACAUAAACUAUAGCUUUUUAGUAGCAACAUCCAUUCUUAUUCUCAGAUUCUCAAAUGCAGUGGUGCAUGAAAAUAGAUUCCUAGCC